GACAGAGGGUGCAAACGUUGCUCGGAAUCACUGGGCGUAAAGGGCGUGUAGGCGGGAAGGAUAGUCAGAUGUGAAAUCCCUGGGCUCAACCCAGGAACUGCAUUUGAAACUCCCUUUCUUGAGUGUCGGAGAGGAAAGCGGAAUUCCUGGUGUAGAGGUGAAAUUCGUAGAUAUCAGGAGGAACACCGGUGGCGAAGGCGGCUUUCUGGACGACAACUGACGCUGAGACGCGAAAGCGUGGGAGCAAACAGG
rnacentral:rRNA from 1 species